UACAGAGGGUGCGAGCGUUGUUCGGAAUUAUUGGGCGUAAAGCGCGCGUAGGCGGACCUGCAAGUCGGGGGUGAAAGCCCGAGGCUCAACCUCGGAACUGCCUUCGAUACUGCGGGUCUCGAGUCCGGGAGAGGUGAGUGGAAUUCCUGGUGUAGCGGUGAAAUGCGCAGAUAUCAGGAAGAACACCGAUGGCGAAGGCAGGUCUCUGGGCAUUAACUGACGCUGAGGAGCGAAAGCAUGGGGAGCGAACAGG
rnacentral:rRNA from 1 species